GAUGAACGCUGGCGGCGUGCCUAAUACAUGCAAGUCGAGCGAACGGACGAGAAGCUUGCUUCUCUGAUGUUAGCGGCGGACGGGUGAGUAACACGUGGAUAACCUACCUAUAAGACUGGGAUAACUUAGGGAAACCGGAGCUAAUACCGGAUAAUAUUUUGAACCGCAUGGUUCAAAAGUGAAAGACGGUCUUGCUGUCACUUAUAGAUGGAUCCGCGCUGCAUUAGCUAGUUGGUAAGGUAACGGCUUACCAAGGCAACGAUGCAUAGCCGACCUGAGAGGGUGAUCGGCCACACUGGAACUGAGACACGGUCCAGACUCCUACGGGAGGCAGCAGUAGGGAAUCUUCCGCAAUGGGCGAAAGCCUGACGGAGCAACGCCGCGUGAGUGAUGAAGGUCUUCGGAUCGUAAAACUCUGUUAUUAGGGAGGAACAUAUGUGUAAGUAACUGUGCACAUCUUGACGGUACCUAAUCAGAAAGCCACGGCUAACUACGUG
rnacentral:rRNA from 1 species